rnacentral:rRNA from 1 species
GACGAACGCUGGCGGCGUGCUUAACACAUGCAAGUCGAACGGAAAGGCCCUGCUUUUGUGGGGUGCCCGAGUGGCGAACGGGUGAGUAACACGUGAGUAACCUGCCCUGGACUUUGGGAUAACUUCAGGAAACUGGGGCUAAUACCGGAUAGGAGCUGCUGCUGCAUGGUGGGGGUUGGAAAGUUUCGGCGGUUGGGGAUGGACUCGCGGCUUAUCAGCUUGUUGGUGGGGUAGUGGCUUACCAAGGCUUUGACGGGUAGCCGGCCUGAGAGGGUGACCGGCCACAUUGGGACUGAGAUACGGCCCAGACUCCUACGGGAGGCAGCAGUGGGGGAUAUUGCACAAUGGGCGGAAGCCUGAUGCAGCAACGCCGCGUGCGGGAUGACGGCCUUCGGGUUGUAAACCGCUUUCGCCUGUGACGAAGCGUGAGUGACGGUAAUGGGUAAAGAAGCACCGGCUAACUACGUG